rnacentral:rRNA from 1 species
AGACCGCGAGGCAGAGCAAACCCUAAAAAGUACGUCUCAGUUCGGAUUGCAGGCUGCAACUCGCCUGCAUGAAGUCGGAAUUGCUAGUAAUCGCAGAUCAGCAUGCUGCGGUGAAUACGUUCCCGGGCCUUGUACACACCGCCCGUCACACCAUGGGAGUCGGUAACACCCGAAGUCGGUAGUCUAACCGAAAGGAGGACGCCGCCGAGGGUGGGAUUGAUGACUGGGGUGAAGUCGUAACAAGGUAGC